rnacentral:rRNA from 1 species
ACGAACGCUGGCGGCGUGCUUAACACAUGCAAGUCGAACGGUGAAGCCUUUCGGGGUGGAUCAGUGGCGAACGGGUGAGUAACACGUGGGCAAUCUGCCCUGCAUUCUGGGACAAGCCUUGGAAACGAGGUCUAAUACCGGAUACGACGCAUCUCCGCAUGGGGUGUGCGUGGAAAGCUCCGGCGAUGCAGGAUGAGCCCGCGGCCUAUCAGCUUGUUGGUGGGGUGAUGGCCUACCAAGGCGACGACGGGUAGCCG